rnacentral:lncRNA from 7 species
GGGGGUGAUGAGGCAUGGCAGCAGCUGCCACGGGACCAGUGUCAUCACCUUAUUGCUGGAAGGCCAGAGAGCAAGGAACGAGCUCCCUCGCAAGGAUAGAAGGAAUAACAGGAUCCUUUCGCUGUAAGAACCCAAACAGAGCCUGCAGAGUUCUAUUUUCUCAGGCUUCUGUUCCCACCAGAACUUUUCCAGGGCAGUUACAGACAGUACAUUGAGGAAGCUGAUCUUGUGACAAUAAACACUGCACCGUGUGUUUAGGUUUGCUUUCUUUCCUGAUACUUGCUGCAUUUUCUGUGAGUCUUCAAUGGAGAUGGAUGCAUUCCUGUGGUAUAGGAGCUCUAGAGAGUCGUAUCAAUGACGAAAAGGAUUAAAAUUCAAAGUUAAUGUAUGUAUCACAUCAGAAUGAAGGGAAAUCUCUCCCUGUUGCUCGCUGGUGGUUUCUCCUGUGCCAUGCCAAGGUGUGAGCCUACAGAUUUCGGCACUUCUUUCCUGGAUCUGUUUGAAGAAUGAACGUCACUGAGAAGGCUGUGUGAUCCAAACCAGCUUUCCUGGCCUGAGCUGUUCAUUACCAUCACACCAAGCAUGACUGUAAAUGACCUUCUGUACCCUUGAUUGUAACUUCUGAGUACAGUAAACACCGCCUGGACAUCGCCUCUGCAAAAAUCUCCCCUUUCUUCCCCUGGGGCUCUUGUCAGCUCCAGGAUGACAGGAAGCAUCUGCAUCAGCUCCCAGCAACACUUCAGUGGUGCUUGCAGACAAAUUCGUAUUUCCCAAAGAUGGGAAGAAGAUUCCCAGAAGAAGGAGGUCAACUGCCUCAGACAGAAGGGCCAUGGAAGAGCCCCUUGGACACUCCCCUUGGCGGACAAUAUGCUGAUGCACGUUAGUGACUUGAUAGCGAGCUCUUGCUUUGUGGGGGCUGCUGAAGGAUGUCCUUGGUGCUUCUGUGCAGUUACGGGCUCACUGAGUCUCUUCACCAGCAUGCCACUGUGGGUUUGGCUGCAAGGCUUUCAAAGCCUGAGUGCAGCGAGCAGUGCCCGGGUGGCGUUUCUGAUGGCAUCCAUGAUGUGUCUUCUGGUAGAGGAAUGAAUAGAGCUGCUAACCACUGACCCUUGCAAACCUGCCAGAGGGAAAAAAAACAAUAAAGGAAAGUAGGCAGCAGAGCAGGGCCACACUAUUUCUAGCAACUGAGAGCUCUGAUCAGGAGAUGGACAGGUGAGGAUUUCAUUGCACUGGGGGGCAGGCUGCAGUGUCUUCCAGGCCCGAGCGGUCUGCCUGCUGUGGGGCUGCACGCCAGCAUACCCAAUAGUGUGCUAACUGUUGCUGUUUAAUCUCCAGCAUCUUGUUUGACGCCUCGGUGUAAUAAUGAUGGAAAUAAUAAAUGGCGUGC